CCUACGGGAGGCAGCAGUGAGGAAUAUUGGUCAAUGGACGAGAGUCUGAACCAGCCAAGUAGCGUGAAGGAUGACUGCCCUAUGGGUUGUAAACUUCUUUUAUAUGGGAAUAAAAUGUUCCACGUGUGGGCUUUUGUAUGUACCAUAUGAAUAAGGAUCGGCUAACUCCGUGCCAGCAGCCGCGGUAAUCCGGAGGGUCCGAGCGUUAUCCGGAUUUAUUGGGUUUAAAGGGAGCGUAGGUGGAUUUUUAAGUCAGUUGCGAAAGUUUGCGGCUCAACCGUAAAAUUGCAGUUGAAACUGGCAGUCUUGAGUACAGUAGAGGUGGGCGGAAUGCGUGGUGUAGCGGUGAAAUGCUUAGAUAUCACGAAGAACUCCGAUUGCGAAGGCAGUACACUGGACUGCAACUGACACUGAGGCUCGAAAGUGUGGGUAUCAAACAGGAUUAGAUACCCUAGUAGUC
rnacentral:rRNA from 1 species